AAUCAACGCUGGCGGCGUGCCUCAGACAUGCAAGUCGAACGCGAAAGUCCCCUUCGGGGGACAAGUAGAGUGGCGCACGGGUGAGUAACACGUAGGUAAUCUACCUUCGGAUGGGGAAUAACAACCGGAAACGGUUGCUAAUACCGCAUAAUGCAGCGGCACCUAAUGGUGACAGUUGUUAAAGCGGGGGAUUGAAAGACCUCGCGUCUGAAGAGGAGCCUGCGGCGGAUUAGCUUGUUGGAGGGUAACGGCCUACCAAGGCGACGAUCCGUAGCCGGCCUGAGAGGGCGGUCGGCCACACUGACACUGACAUACGGGUCAGACUCCUACGGGAGGCAGCAGUCGGGAAUUUUGGGCAAUGGGCGACAAGCCUGACGCAGCGACGCCGCGUGAGGA
rnacentral:rRNA from 1 species